GUCAGCUCUGUGGGAGCAGCAGGAUCGUUUUUUUUUAAAGUGUGGUGGUUUUCUGUCUUACUCUCCUCUUGAAUGUCAAGGACUGUGAGGUGUUGUGGCUGGAUCCCUGCCCUCAGCCCAGGCCUGGCACAGAGCACAUGCGCUCUCAGCAUUUGGGGAAGAACCAGCAAUGAACAGAAGUUCAAGGGACCUUAUAUCACCCUCACCUCAUAUGGAACUCCAGUGGUCUGGUACAGAUCGUAACAAAAAUCCCCAACAACCUGUCGGGCCAUCUGGUCGACCUCGCCACAGCGGCCACCAAUCUGUUGGCUUUGUGAUCCUCACACAGAUGUAUCCGUGUCUCACACCCCUGAAACACAGCGCCUCCACACGGACACCAUCCUUUCUACUUCCGAGCCCGAGGAGAACAGAAGGGACUCCUGGCGCUCCUCGAAUAGAGGCAGCCGGACCCGCAGGAAAUCCGUCUGCUGAGUCCUGAGCACGUCAGCGGGAACCGUGGCCGCCUGGGAGCAGCCUCAGCGCCGGGAAGGCAGCGGGACGACCGUUCCCCCAAGGUGGCAAGGAAGCGCUUCCGGGCGCCCUUUGGGGAGGAGGACUGGCGGCCCGUGGUCCCUUCCGGUGCCUCCUGUUCUGGACACCAGGGCCGGCCGUCUCCGGGGAGAGGACACACGUUUGUGAAUCGGGACUAUCGGGGUCCAUGGGGGAGGCUGGGAAGACUGGACAUGUCUGCGUGCGUCCGUGUGGUCCGCACCUCCGGGCGCGUGGGAAACAUGGAGAAGGUGUAACCCCGCGGACGCCGGCGCCGUGACCUUUCCUGCUCGCGCUCAGCUGCCCCAGCGGUGCCCGGGGGCAGAAGGGGCCUCGCGGCGCUCUGGUCCACCCGGCCGGGCAGCGACACCGACCGCCGCCGCCCGCCCAGGCCGCGGCCCUGCAGCUCGAAUCUCCGGCGACAGCAGGCUCUUCCCGGGUCUCAUGGCACCGGGAGCGUUGCCGCUGUCACCCCCGGCCUCUGGAGCUCUGCCCCGGGCUCGGCGGCCGAACCUUCGCGGGAGUCGCCAACGUUCCCCGGGAAGGGACCGGCUCACGGCGUCCUUUGGGUGGCUCCCGACGGGCGGCGCACACGGCCCCCGGCGGACCCCGACCGCCGGGCCGCCCUGACGCCCCGCUUGUCCCGGGCGUCCGCCUGGGAGUCGGCUCCCGGCCCGGCAGGGCGCGGAGGCCCAGACACCAGACGGGAGGGCGGGAGCUGGAAAGACCUCUCCGGGUAGCUGCGGGAGAAGGCGCGCUCCUCAGCGAUUCCCGAGGCUCGAGGCUCGGACCCAGGCGGCCCAGAGGGCAGGCCCUGCUCCCGGGCGGACUUAGGAAUUUAGUGAAACUUAGAUUGUGUGGACUGUAAAACUGAAACCAUGAAAGGACUGGGUAAAAACAUAUAUGAAUGAUUUUUAUUCUGUGGAGUAGAAAGAUUGGAAUCAUGAUACAACAUUAAAAAAAAAAAAAGUCUCUUCAGAAGCCAUCAAAUAAAUGAAUGAUAAACAGUCA
ensembl:lncRNA